rnacentral:rRNA from 1 species
AGAAUCUUUCGCAAUGCCCGAAAGGGUGACGAAGCGACGCCGCGUGUGGGAAGAAGGCCUUCGGGUUGUAAACCACUGUCGGGAGUUAAGAAAUGUAAGGAUGUUAAUAGCGUCCUUACUUGACUAAGGCUCCGGAGGAAGCCACGGCUAACUCUGUGCCAGCAGCCGCGGUAAUACAGAGGCGGCAAGCGUUGUUCGGAAUUAUUGGGCGUAAAGAGCACGUAGGCGGCCUUGAAAGUCAGUUGUGAGAGCCUUCUGCUUAACGGAAGAACAGCAUCUGAUACUACAGGGCUUGAGUGCGGGAGGGGAGAGUGGAACUUCUGGUGGAGCGGUGAAAUGCGUAGAUAUCAGAAGGAACGCCGGCGGCGAAAGCGGCUCUCUGGCUCGUAACUGACGCUGAGUGUGCGAAAGCUAGGGGAUCAAACGGGAUUAGAUACCCCGGUAGUCCUAGCCGUAAACGAUGGGCACUAAGUAGAGGGGUUUUGAUUAUCUCUCUGCCGGAGCUAACGCAUUAAGUGCCCCGCCUGGGAAGUACGGCCGCAAGGCUAAAACUCAAAAGAAUUGACGGGGGCUCGCACAAGCGGUGGAGCAUGUGGCUUAAUUCGAUGCAACGCGAAGAACCUUACCGGGGUUUGACAUGGUAGAAGUAGGAACCAGAAACGGUAACGAACGGUAUCCAGUCCGUAACUAUCACAGGUGUUGCAUGGCUG